UAGAGAGAGAGGAAGAGAUCAACUGUCGGUUGUCGGCGGUUUGCGCUUCGGUGGCGGCUCAGGCUUUGGUUCGGGUUUGGGUUCUGGUUUAGGCAUCGGUUCAGGCUUGGGCUCGGGUUUUGGUUCAGGUUUAGGCAUGGGCUUAGGCAUGGGCUCAGGCUUUGGUUCUGGUUUAGGCAUUGGCUUAGGCUUGGGUUCGGGUUUUGGCUCUGGUUUGGGCAUUGGCUCAGGCUUGGGUUCUGGUUUAGGCAUGGGCUCAGGCUUUGGUUCCGGUUUAAUUGGCUCAGGCUUCGGUUCCGGCUUAGGCAUUGGCUCGGGCUUGGGCUCAGGUUUUGGCUCAGGUUUAGGCAUUGGCUCGGGUUUGGGCUCAGGUUUAGGCUCAGGUUUAGGCACUGGCUCAGGCUUAGGCUCGGGUUUAGGCUCAGGUUUAGGCACUGGCUUAGGCAUGGGCUCGGGUUUUGGUUCCGGUUUAGGCAUUGGCUCAGGUUUGGGCUCGGGUUUAGGCUCGGGUUUAGGCAUUGGCUUAGGCAUGGGCUCGGGUUUUGGUUCCGGUUUGGGCAUGGGCUCUGGUUUUGGCUCGGGUUUUGGCAUUGGCUUAGGCAUGGGCUCUGGUUUUGGUUCCGGUUUAGGCAUCGGCUCAGGUUUCGGCUCUGGUUUAGGCAUUGGUUUGGGCAUUGGUUCCGGCUUGGGCUCUGGCUUCGGCUCGGGCUUGGGCAUGGGUUCAGGUUUGGGCUCAGGUUUCGGUCCCGGUUUGGGCAUUGGUUCUGGCUUCGGCUCAGGUUUCGGUUCAGGUUUAGGCAUGGGUUCAGGUUUCGGUUCAGGUUUUGGCUCUGGUUUUGGCAUGGGCUUGGGCUCCGGUUUUGGCAUGGGUUUUGGUUCCGGCUUUGGCUCUGGCU
rnacentral:lncRNA from 1 species